GCCACGUUCGCCCUCCAACUUUCUUUCAUUUCAGAAACUUCAAAGCGGCUCGAGUUCGGCAACUCAGUAAAACCGAGUUGCGACUCACCGAUUCGUCAUUUCAAUUUUCGUCUCCAUUUCUCCUGAAAAUAUAGUCAUUAAACCCUCCCACGCGUAGGGUUCUUGAUUCUUACGCUGGUUCUGCGACAAAUUUCGAAUGAUUCUGAAUCUCCGAUUCCAGUUCGUUCAGUAAGAUCGCUUCUCGUUUUGAACAAGGAAGCGAUGGGACAGGCAUUUCGUCGAGCGGCGGAAAGAAUCAAGCCGGCUUGGAGCGUGGAUUCCACUGCCUCUUCGUUGAAAAUGGAGAGCGUCGUCGAUUGGAAACCUCCGCCGCGUGCGGCCGAGAAGGCUCGGGAGAGCGGCGCUCAUGAUUCUGGUGGUGUCUCGGGAAGUAAUUCUGGAAAUGUGCUUGAGGAAUGAGAUCUACGGUUUGAUGCCAUGCUUAGCCAUAUGGUGGGUCGAAAUUAGAUCAAAGCCUGGAUCAAAACUUGAGAUAAGGGAGGGCUCUGUGGUGGAGAGAUAUGACAGACCAAUGCCAAAGCAAAUAAAUACAGAUCUAAAAUCCAGUAAAUACGAGGAUCGCACAGCCCCACCAGGAACUUUAAAUGUAGCACAGAUGCGCCACAUAAUCCUCCUAAAUGAAGGAAAGGCUGAUGACUUCGAGGGGCCAAUAUGCGUUCACCAAAUUGCUGAAAGGUGUAAUAGUGUCAGCGUCCAUCAAAUACAGACGAUUUUGCAGUUUCUGUCUCUGCCACCAGAGGACAGUCUUCGAGAGAAAAAGAAGGAUCCUUAAUAACAGGAAUGGAGCCAAGAAAACGAGGGAAGGGGCGUUGCUCCCCUAAGAUGAGGAUCAAAGGGAUAAUUGGGGCCUUCAAUUCUUAGGCAUAUGAGAGAUGUUACACUAUGUAAGGACUUGCCAAGAAUGUUUUCAUUGGUUAUGAUAAACCGAAUCACUUCAUAAUUAAUGAGGAUAAACCUUGAGGUUUAUUUUGUGCUUUUUGGCAAAAUUGCUAUCUACCUUAAAAGCACUGUCAUCUCUACAUUGUACUCCAAUCCAAUCUAUAAAGGAUGUAAAAAAGAAAAAAAGAAAAA